GGAGGGGUUGGGGGAUGUUGGCCCAGAAACCGGGAAAGGGAAUAACAAUUGAAAUGUAAAUAAGAAAUACCCAAGUUAAUAAAGUUGGAGGAAAAAAAAACCAAAACUUGUGUGUGCAACCAUGAGUUGUGUUUUCAUGCCUAGCAUUCCUGAAAUUUUACAUUGACUUUUCCAUUCUUGCCUCACAGUUUUAUUCUAUCCAUUCAAAGAUAUUGAUAGUUUGCUGAAUAGAAUAAAAAAGUAGGGGUUUCUGAGAUGCAACUAAAGAUGCUGAUAUGGAAUUUGCAUGAAAGAAAACUGUGGCCUGAUUUAGGAGCUGGCAAUUGACACUGAGACUGGACCUUAUUGUGUAAUCACCAGUAAGUGGAUAUUAGCCGAAAUGUACAGAAUACCCAGCAUACAAACCAUGAAUUGUAAGAAGUUUAACAAGAAGGAAGGCCCAGGUGAGAAGGUUUCAAUCCCACUUAAAAGGAGGAGCAAAAUAAUCAAUCAAAGGAGGUAGAGGGAGGGAGGCACCCGAGUGGAAGAGGAGGGAGGGGAAAUGUACGGAGCAUUAGGUAUUGGGAGCUAGGAAAUAGGAGAGAACCCAAGGGCCAUGAGAAUGAAUGGAAAUAUGCAAAUUCUAGGGGUGGGGGAGGUGAGCCUCUAGAAAAUUUCAGAGACCUAGGAUGUGGAGGCUCCCAGGACUCAAUGGGGGUGAUCUUAGCCAAAAUACCCAAUAUUGGGGAGAGGGAUCCUGAAGAAACUACCUCCAGGAGAUAGACAGUGUCAUAAGUGGAGGGACAGGGUUACCAACCCAUUGUCAAAAUUUCUGACCCAGAAUUGUUCUGGUCAAAGAAGAACAGGGACAAAAUGGAGAAGAGCCUGAAGUAAAUACUGUCCAGUUACUGGCCCAACUUGGAUUCCAUCUCUUGGGGAAGCCACCAAACCUGACACUAUUACUGUUGCUAUAAUGUGAUUAUGGACAGGAGCCUAGAAUGGCUGUCCUGUGAGAUGCCCUACCAGAGGCUGACUGAGACAGAUGCAGAUAUUUAAAGCCAACCAUUAGACUGAAGUCUGGGACCCCAAUGGAAAAAUUAGGGGAAGGACUGAAGGAGCUGAAGGGAACAGCAACCCCAUAGGAAGAGAAACAUUCUCAACUAACCCAGAUCCCUUGGAGCUCCCAAAGACUAAGCCAGCACUGAAAGAGCAUAUUCAAACACAUAUAUAGCAAAGGACUGCCUUGUUUGGCAGUAGGAAAGGAUGCGCCUAACCCUAUGGACUUGAGGCCCCAGGGAUGGGGAAUAAGAGCCUGCCUGGUAGGGGACAGUGCAAGGGAGAGGGGAAGCAUCCUCUCAGAGGCAAAGGAGGGGCAGAAUGGGAUGAAGAAUUGUGGGAGUGGGAACUGGAAGGAGGGCAAUGUCUAUAAUGUAAAUAAAUAAAAUGAUUAAAAAUGUUGCUUUUGACAGACAUUGGCUAUAUGGCUAGUGGGAAGAGUCAAGCCAGUUGUGAUUUCUCGAUUUUUAUUUGGAAAACCAGUGGAUGACUUUUACCAUCCCAUGAAACCCAAAUGUUUAUAAAGUAAGAGAUUUAGAAGGAGAAGAAAGUAAUCGCAAGGGGGAAGGGAGAGAGAGACAGACCUGGGUGGGAAAGGGCAUAGUAGUGGAAGAGAGGAACAUGAUCAGGUAUUGGGUGGGUGGAAAGGACUGAAACCCUGAGGGCCAGCAGAAAGAAUGGAAACAGGAACCUCAGGAAUUAGAAGGUAGGAGAACCCUCCAGACUGUACCAGAGACCUGGGAGGUGAAAGAAUCUCAAGACUCAAGGGGAGGAACCUUAGAUGAAAUGUCCUACAGUGGGGAGACAGAACUUGUAGAGCCUACCUUCAACAAACAAGACAGGGCAUAAGUGAAGGGUGGGUUUGCCAUCCCACAGUCAAAACUGACCCAUAUUGUUCCUGUCUGAAAGAACUGCAGGGAUGGAAAUGGAGAGGAGCCUGAGGUAAAGCAGAUUCAGCAACAGGCCAAAUGUGGGAUCUAGAUCAAGGGGAGGCCCCAAGGUCUGACACUAUUACUGAGGCUAUGGUGUGCUCACAAAAGGGGCCUAUUAUGACUCUGAAAGACCCAAAAAGCAUCUGAAUGAGUCAGAUGGAGAUAUUUACACCUAACCCAUGGACAGACCUGUAGAGCCCUGUGGUUGAAUUAGGGGAAAGCUGGAAGAAACUGAGGAGGAGGGCAACCCUGUAGGGGGACGAGUAGUCUCAAUUAACCUGGACCCCCAAGAUCUCUCAGACACUGGACUGCCAACCAGUUGAUAUAAGGCCUUGAACACAUGUACAGCAGAGGACUGCCCGGUCUGGAUUCAGUUAGAGAAGAUGCACCUAACCCUCAAAAGACUGGAGACCCCAGAGAAUAUAGAGAUCUGUGUGGAGACUGUCCCCUGCACAGAAGGCUCCUUCCAAGAUUAGCAAAACCGGUGUCGUUGAGCCAGUGGCCGAGUUGUUUAUUUUUUAAUAACUUCACCUCCUUGUAUGGUUGUAAGCAAUAACACUGACUCCUGUGUAAUAAACAUGCUGAAACCUCUGGGCUUUCUGUCUAAUGUACAGUAUACCUGAACUCAGCUUUUCUUACUUUCUGUGUGUCUUCCUGCCUCUCCUUUCUUCAUUUCCCUCACAGCCUCAGACAGGUCCACAUCACUAAUGCUGAACAAGGUCUUGAGACACUGAGUCUAGUACGAUUUAUUCCAGAGAGUGUGCUGGUGACACAAAGUAGUGAAAUGGCACUACAGUGUAUCACUCUUGUUGAUGUGUUAAUGAGGUGGCAGUAAUAGUGGUCUCAUUUGUAAUAGUGUUCUCAUCAGAGAUCUUGAGACAAAACAAAACAAGAAACAAACCAACACACACCUGAGGAAAGGACUAAGGAGGAAGGAUUUUAUUGUGAUUUACUGUUUCUUUAUUAUGACACGUGUGUCUUGAUUCUUAAUGACCAUGGUAUGCAAGCUCCAUUGUUAUGGCCUAUGCAAGGACAAAAAUCAUCAUGGCAUAGGGUUUCUCUCUCUCCAAUUCCCCCCUCUCCCUUUAGUAAUUAUUAUUAUUAUUUUGUUUAUUUAAAUCCCAAAUAUUGCCCCUCUUCCCAAUCUCUCCUCCCAGAUUUCUUUCCUCCAUCUCCCUUCCCCUUCUCUGAGAGGGUGCCCCAGCAGGUAUAUCUCCACCUCCAGCAUCAUGUCUCCACAGGAUUAGGGGUAUCCUCGCCCAUUGAGGCCAGACAUGGCAUUCCUCUGUUACAUAAGUGCAGAGAAACUUGGACCAGCCCAUGUAUUGUCUUUGGUUGUUGGGUCAGUAUCUGGGAGCUCCCAGGUGACCCGGUGAGUUGACACUGUUGUUCUUCCUAUGGGGUUGCCAUCCCCUUCAGUUCCUUAAGUCCCAACUCUUCCACAGGGGUUGCAGACCUUAGUCCAAUGCUUGGCUAUGAGUAUCUGCAUCUGCCUUUGUCAGCUGCUGGUUGAGCCUCUCAGAGGACAGCUAUACUAGACUCCUGUUUGUUAGACAACAUUGCAUCAGUAAUAAGAAUGGGGUACAAAGUGAUAGCCAGAGAUCAGAGGCCAACUGGGAAGUGACAAGAAUCACAGUAUCACAAAUGAGAUACUGGAUUUCUUUUAUUCAUUCAUUCAUUCCUUCAUUUCUUUGCUUCUAUGGCCUUAAGACUGAACCAAGGGCCUCACAUGUAUAAGCCAAGGGAGCUAACUCUGAGCUCCUCCCACCAUGGUUAUCUUUCAUAAAACCAAACAAAAACAUUUCUAUUUUGAAUUACAACAAGAGUCCAUAUGGACAAGUGGUUAAAAUCACUUGUGUUUACAUUAUACAUUAUAGGAGCCCAACUAUAUAGAUACCAUAGAUCUCUUAAAUAAAAAUCUAUCUUGGAAAAAUAGCUUGAAUUAUAGAAACUUAGAAUCCCACUUGACCCUAAAUAAAUUAAUAAUUUAAUUAAAUUAAAGAGAGACCUUGAAUUUAAUUAAAAGACAUUUUUAAAACCAAAAGUUUGACAGGAAGUGGGGCACUAGAAGUUUCUGAACAUUGUAUAAGUUUAAAAAAAAAAACAGAAAGAAAAGUAGCCAUUAAGCCAAUACUAGUGGAAAAUGAUAGUAUUUAGUGUCUUUGAGUGAUCUUCUUAUUCUAUAUGCCAUGGUGAAUGUCAUAUGAAACUUCUCAUUGUAUCCUCCUGAUAACUUUGUGAUAUAGGUACUCCCUAUUAUUUUAUAUCGUCACAUAACUUAAGUGGGAUUGCAGAACUCCUUCGAUGUCACACAGGCAAUACAUAUUAGAGCAGUGCCUGAAUCCAGAAUCAAAUUUCUCCCUAAUUGUUCGCACUUAAUUCUUUUGCCUUUAACAUUUGUGGUUUUCACACUUUUUCAGAGAUUGAAACUGUAGGCAUCCUUACUGUAUGUAAACACUUAAAAUUAAUAAGCUCAUUAGCUACAAUGCAUUAGCUAUUUGGAGCAGAGGGUCUCACGUUAUUCCAGUCGAAGUCUGGUCUAAAGUCCUGAUGGGCUAAUCUUGACUGGGUUUUUAUACCUUUUAACUUUACUAUCUGUCAGGAGACAAGGUUAGAUCUGAUGUGAAGUAUAGCUCGCAUCUUUUGAAUGCAUGGAGAUUCUCCUCUAUUCAUGGUUAGACAAACUUCGUCUAUUCAGUGCAAUUCAAAAAGAAAUGGCUGGCCUGACACAGUAUGUUUGAGGGUAAAUAGAUUACCUCUGACUGGGGGUAAAAUACACAAUAUCCUCUCAUGGAAGCAAGAGUUCAUUCUUCAUCACUUAGGGGCUCUGAAAGUAAGAGCAUAGUACUUGAGGUAACCAUCACUUUAGAGAGGACUAAGCCACUUUCCUACAUAAAAUCUGAGCUAAUAUCCUUCUUAUGCCUUUCCAAGGUCUUGAAUGGUUUUCUGAACUUUCUGGGGGCCAUCUGGCCUUCUCCACGAAGAGGCAAGCAUUCUCGUCUGACACACUGCUUUUAGUAGCUUUCCUUUGCCUGGUGGCUAAAUAAACUCAGCUGAGACAACAAAAGUCUCUUUAUUGAAAUAGGCCUUGCUUGUAAAAUGAAUUCUACUUUUCUUUCAUAGCUAAUAAUGUUACUUCAAAGUAAUUAUCUAAAAGAGAUUUAGUUCCCCAUAAAAUAUGGGCUGAACAGCCAGUGAACUAGUUGGCAGUGUAGAUACAGACAAUGGUCAGAAUGGUAAACUCAGUGGAUGCUGAGUGUUAUGGAGUCAUUAGAAUUAUGUUGCAAUUAGUUCCAAAGUGUAUUUGAACAAGAGUGAGCCAAUAACCAUGGAGGGGGGAAGGAGGAAGGAUGGGACAGAGGGACAGGGACAGAGAGAGAGAAAUGAGAGAGAGAGUCAGAAAGAUACAGAAUCAGAGAUAAACAGAGAGACCCACAAACACAAGCAUGGAGGGUGGGAAUAUCUUUUUUUUUCAGAAGUCAGCAUCUAGAGUUAGCUAACUGGCCAGAGAGAAAAGUCAAACAUUAAGGUAGAGGUUUUGAUUCACACCAGCAAAGGUACUGGAAGCUCCUGUUUGAUUUCAGUGGGCAGCAUACAGGCAGGGUUAAGUUUAUCAUUCUGCCCCUGCCGGACUUUAUAUUUUUCAACUCGCAUAGCUAUAGCCCUCUGUGGGGACUUAGUUUGAAUGACUGUAAUGUAAUUCAUGGGAGCUAUAUUUCCCAUGUAGAGGCACCUCAUACUGUUCAACUAACUAUACUUUAGGGUCGACAAGUUCUCAGUGUCUAACACAUACAAGAAAAGUCUUGAGGGGCUUCAGAGUCCUGCAGCCUUAGUGUAAAAUAGCAAUUUGCAUUAUUUCCUUAGCUUAGCAUAAAAAUGAAAACAUAUUUAAGUCUCAUAAUGCCAAUUUAUCUCUUCUGCCAUCACCAACUUGAGUACUUAUCCAUCCUGAAUUUGAAAUCAAAACGCUUUGAAAUCAGCUUAUGAGCCUCUUUGUUUUAGGGAGAGAAAGACCCACUAAAGCAAGCUGAAGAGAAAGAAGAGAUAAUAGGACUUGGAAAGCAACCUCUUGGCAGAGAGUAACAAGAGCAGUGGAAUAAUUUAAUUGCUCAUCAGCUAAUUAUACGGUAUUAUAAUGUUAAUGUGUCUUCAUCAUGACAUUGUAAUAGGUAUAGAUUGAAGCAUAUGAAAAAGAAAGUGUUGAUGCAGUAAUUAUAAGUAAGAGUGGGGCUGUUAGAGUAAUUAUACGCUUCGUCUGGUAAUUAACAUAUUGUUCAACUUGAGAUGGAGAACAAAGAGUGAAAAAGUUAAAUAUUGAAGGACAUGCCUUUGACACUCCAGAGAUGUCUCUGAGCUUUUGAAGAGAGAGAGAGAGAGAGAGAGAGAGAGAGAGAGAGAGAGAGAUUUCUGCACCUUUAUUGUUAUUUCCGUGUUCCCCUUUCCAUGAUUUAUUAUGGUGCAAGAGAACUUGAGUAUUAGAAGCUACUGAGUUUAAAGUUUUAUGUUCUAUGAUCCCUGUUGCUGCUAUUCGUUCUUUAGUUAUGGCUCAUUUUGUGUUUAAGUGAAUUAGAAACUAAAUCACAAUAUAAUAGAAUAUGGUAUGCAAACUUCUGUCAAUAGAGAAUGAAGGUAAUUAUAUUUUGCAUACCUGAAGAGGUUCUUCUGGAAGAGUUAGUAGGGUUUCUUUGACUUUUAAUAUCAAUGGAUUACCUGAUUUUCUAAUUUCAAAUUCAGACCAAUGCUAUACUUUCUUUAAAACAACCAAUCAGUGUUUGAGCAAGAGAUCAGUUGAUACAAUUAGUCACACGCUCACCAAUCAUGUUCCUAGCAGCAGUGUAUCUAGUGCUACUCCGAACUGAAUAUUUGCCAUAGGUUAGCACACGUUUUCCAUGUUUUCAUAAUGCUUACUGAGCAGAGAGUCUAAGGAGCUUGAGAUAACCAUUUAUCUGCUAGUGAGAAGUGCUGGGAUUUGAACUGACACUUCUAGUCUCUAGCAUUGCUAAUUUUAUUACAACACUAUAUUCUACUCACCCCUCCUCGGUGUCUAUGUUGGACAGUGCUAUAAAAUUAACCAGGAGGCUCUAUGUACAGAUUGGAACACUUCAAUGAAGGAAGAUUUAAUGGACUGAUAAAGGGGAGUCCACAGGGUCUGUGUCGAUAGAGGAGAAGGCGAUUAAAUGUAGGAAAUUUGGAGAUGCCAAAGCUAAAGAAUUGCAUGGCUACAGUGAAAGGCCCAUGGCAUUGCUCCAGGGAGAGAUCUGAUCGUUGUUAAGAGGAGUUCACAAGCAGUCCAAGGUUCAAAACUUGAAUUGCAUUGAGAUAGUAGUGUGAAACGACUCAAUGCAUUUGAUUUCCACAGAACCUUGAAUAAAACAUAUCAAAACAAUUUUCUCUGUGGAUCAAUCCAGGAAGCCCCUAACCCUUUGAAUUUGUUUCCCAUUUAGUAAAGGAGAGUGGGAACCUACUAAAUUACAUUGUACUGUGUGUGUGUGUGUGUGUGUGUGUGUGUGAGAGAGAGAGAGAGA